rnacentral:lncRNA from 1 species
AGAACAUCAUUGGGCCAGGGGUGAAUUAAUUGAAGGGAGGUGUGCAACGCAAGUUGCUUUGGGCCAAAGGCCCAACCUCCAAAUAUCCAAACCGAGUUCAAGAAUAACCACCCAAGACAUGCUUCCAUAGAAGCCCCUUCACAAGAAAGGCAUCGCUUAAAAGAAGAACGAAGGAUAACUUUCACUGUGUUGAAAAAAUGCUCAUUAGCAUCCGCGACUCAAUGAACAUCUCACCUUAAAAUCCGAUGUACUCCUUUGUUCCGUGGUUGAUUGAAAUGAAGAUGAAGCUUCACAUUCGUGCGUUUUCCCUUGAGAUGAAGAUGAAGACGUUCAGAUUCGUGCAUGCUGCAUUGAGAUGAAGAUAAAGACGUUCAGAUUCGUGCGUUAUGAAUUGGCAUGUGUCUCCUUCGUUUUUUUUCCUUCUAUUUCUACUCCUUUGAAUGCGCCUUGUUCCUUCUCCUUCACUUCCAUUUCUGUUAUCGAGCUCUUUUUGUGAAUUCCUAGAAACCGCUUCUUUGAGCUUUUUUUCUGGGUUUUUGUUGAAGGUUGAUCGAAGAGGUUGGUUGGGAGGUUGGAAAUCGGAAUAGGGAGGUUGAUUGAAGGAGUUAGUUAUGAGUUUGUUGAACUUUGUUAGAGGGUGAUUUGAGAAUGGUUUAGAAUCGGUUAGGAGUUAGUUUAACAGCUUGUUGGAAAAGUUGGGUUGGAAGGUUGGAGAUUAGGAAAGGGUGAUUCCGAAGGUGUUUGAGAGAGUUCAGUUCUAAUCCUCUUUGAGAGUUUUGAUAUCAGUUGGUUUUUUAUUAUUAGUAGGGUGAUUGAAGAUUCGACAAAAUUCGUUAGGAGAGGUUCUGUUGAGGAGUUUUCAGUUAUCUCUUUUAGAAGGUUGUUGAAGAUUAGAGAAAUUCGGUUUAGAGUUGCUAUGGCAGUUAGAGUUGGUUAUUUAUUCAGUCAGAGAUUGGUUUUGAGGCUUCGGUUCAGUUGAGUUUUUGUAGGUUGUUAUGGGUUCUUCUUAACCAGAUAUUUGUUGAAGGGAUAGGUAGUUAGUUAGAAUGGUUAUGUUUGUAGGUGAUUGAAGGGUGUUGUUAGAGAGAAUUAUUCAUGAGAUGGAUGGAGGUUAGAAGUUGUUAAAACGGUUCCCCCUUUGUUGAGUUCUGUUGAGGAUUGUUUUAUAGUUGGAUUUCCGUUGGAAGGUUUGGAAAAACGGUUAGAAAUUCUAAAAAUUUGUUGAGAUGUGAACGCUUUUUUUUUGCAGGUUAUGAUUUUUAUUAUGGAAUUGCUUUGGCUUGGACACAACUAUGGAUCAUUGCAUUGAAUUGCUUGUUGAAAGUUGCUUGCAUGGAUGUUUGGGAAUUGAUGGGAACUAUGCAUUGGAUUGUUGUAAUUUUGUUGUAACAUGACUUGUUGUAUGUAGGAUUUAAAUUGUAAAUUUUGUAAGAUGAAAUUGAAUGUAAAGUUGGGUUUAUGAAAUGUUGUAAAUCUUGUAUGGAAUUGUAUGUAAAAGAUGGAAUUUGAAAUUGAAAUUGUAGUGGUUUAUGUGUGAAUGAAUAUAUUUUAGAAAUUGAAUAAAUGGAAAUGAUGCUUAAUAAA